CAGCCCUUUCAGCUCCGGCUCUGAAUGGCGGUUCUGUGGCCUCGUUGGAGGAACACAGGCGCCUUUUCUGUGUCACUUCCCCCUCACCAGCGGAGCUCCAGAAAUAUGCCACAGCUGACUUCAGGUGAAUCCUUCACUUGGCUGCUGUCCUGUCCCAUGUCUGUAAAGUCGGGAUCUCAACACCAAUAUCACAGGAUGGAGGAGGAUGAGGUGUAUUGAAUGCUGCAUCCGUGUUUAUUGUUUCUCCAGCACCUUCUUGUAUCGGUCAGGACAGGAUAGGUGAGUUGCAGUAACAAACAAGCCCUCAGAUCACAAUGGCUUAACACGGGGAUUGUUUCUCUCUGGUGAUGCAGACCCGGGCUAGACAGGUGCCUCCCUGCACAGGCCCUCCCCAAGGCUGCCUGCACGCUGCUGUCCUGCCAUUUCCAAGUCCUGGGUCAGCCACACAGUCAAGAGAGAGACAGCAUGUGUCUCUCCGAACAGCCUCAGACGAGGAGCACACGGCCGACUCUGCCUAGCAGCCCAGGGGGAGGAGGGGAAACAUGAAACCUUGAAUGUCAGGCUCUGCAGGAAACUCAAAGGUCAUCUAAAACAGGAAAUCCAGCGUGGCCACCCCUUGUGCUCACCUGGAGAGGGUGU
rnacentral:lncRNA from 1 species